ensembl:misc_RNA Metazoa_SRP Metazoan signal recognition particle RNA
GCCAGGCGUGGUGGCACAUGCCUGUAAUCCCAGCUACUCAGGAGGCUGAGGUGGGAGAAUCGCUUGAGCCCGGGAGGCAGAGGUUGCAGUGAGCUGAGAUCGUACCACUGCACUCCAGCCUGGGCAACAGAGUGAGACCCUGUCUCAA